GUACUCACUUCAGCAGCACACAUUCUAAAAUUGGAAUGAUAGAGAGAUCAGCGUGACCCCUGUGCAAGAAUGACAUGCAAAUUCAUGGAAUGUUCCACAGAUAA